UACGGGGGGGGCAAGCGUUGUUCGGAAUUACUGGGCGUAAAGGGCGCGUAGGCGGCCUGCUAAGUCGGAUGUGAAAUCCCUCGGCUCAACCGAGGAACUGCAUCCGAUACUGGCGGGCUUGAAUCCGGGAGAGGGAUGUGGAAUUCCAGGUGUAGCGGUGACAUGCGUAGAUAUCUGGAGGAACACCGGUGGCGAAGGCGGCAUCCUGGACCGGUAUUGACGCUGAGGCGCGAAAGCUAGGGGAGCAAACGGG
rnacentral:rRNA from 1 species